GGUACAGACUGACCAAAACACACAUGUAUCGACACAUACUCCGGGGUGCCUUAUACAGGUCGGUAGUAUGGGAUACAUGGAGGCUCAAC
rnacentral:sRNA from 1 species